rnacentral:rRNA from 1 species
CCUACGGGUGGCAGCAGUGGGGAAUAUUGCACAAUGGUGGAAACCCUGAUGCAGCAACGCCGCGUGAGUGAAGAAGGUUUUCGGAUUGUAAAGCUCUGUUAGCAGGGAAGAGGAAGGACGGUACCUGCAGAGGAAGCGACGGCUAACUACGUGCCAGCAGCCGAGGGAAUACGCAGGUGGCAAGCGUUGAUCGGAAUAACUGGGCGUAAAGGAUGCGUAGGCGGUUAAACAAGUUAUAUGUUAAAUAUAUAGGCUUAACCUGUAGAAAGCAUAUAAAACUGUUUAACUAGAGUGGAAGAGAGGUAAGUGGAAUGCCUAGUGUAGCGGUGAGAUGCGUAGAGAUUAGGAAGAACACCAGUGGCGAAGGCGACUUGCUGGACCGUAACUGACGCUGAGGCAUGAGAGCAUGGGGAGCAAACAGGAUUAGAUACCCGAGUAGUC